rnacentral:rRNA from 1 species
CAGCAGCCGCGGUAAUACGUAGGGUGCGAGCGUUAUCCGGAAUCAUUGGGCGUAAAGAGCUCGUAGGCGGUUCAACAAGUCGGCUGUGAAAGUCCGGGGCUCAACCCCGGAAUUGCAGUCGAUACUGUUGUGACUUGAGUCCGGUAGAGGAGAAUGGAAUUCCCGGUGUAGCGGUGGAAUGCGCAGAUAUCGGGAGGAACACCAGUAGCGAAGGCGGUUCUCUGGGCCGGCACUGACGCUGAGGAGCGAAAGCGUGGGGAGCAAACAGGAUUAGAUACCCUGGUAGUCCACGCCGUAAACGUUGGAUACUAGGUGUGGCGGUCUACCAACGACUGCCGUGCCGAAGCUAACGCAUUAAGUAUCCCGCCUGGGGAGUACGGCCGCAAGGCUAAAACUCAAAGGAAUUGACGGGUCCCCGCACAAGCGGCGGAGCAUGCGGCUUAAUUCGAUGCAACCCGAAGAACCUUACCUGGGUUUGACAUCAUGGGAAAAGCCGUAGAAAUACGGUGUCCGAAAGGGCCCAUGACAGGAGGUGCAUGGCC